ACGGGUGAGUAACACGUAUCCAACCUGCCGUCUACUCUUGGACAGCCUUCUGAAAGGAAGAUUAAUACAAGAUGGCAUCAUGAGUCCGCAUGUUCACAUGAUUAAAGGUAUUCCGGUAGACGAUGGGGAUGCGUUCCAUUAGAUAGUGGGCGGGGCAACGGCCCACCUAGUCUUCGAUGGAUAGGGGUUCUGAGAGGAAGGUCCCCCACAUUGGAACUGAGACACGGUCCAA
rnacentral:rRNA from 1 species